GGCCCAGACUCCUACGGGAGGCAGCAGUGAGGAAUAUUGGUCAAUGGGCGGGAGCCUGAACCAGCCAAGUCGCGUGAGGGAAGACGGUCCUACGGAUUGUAAACCUCUUUUGCCGGGGAGCAACGGGGUCCUUGCGAGGGCCCAAUGAGAGUACCCGGAGAAAAAGCAUCGGCUAACUCCGUGCCAGCAGCCGCGGUAAUACGUAGGUGGCAAGCGUUGUCCGGAAUUACUGGGUGUAAAGGGAGCGCAGGCGGGAAGCCAAGUCAGCUGUGAAAACUACGGGCUUAACUUGUAGACUGCAGUUGAAACUGGUUUUCUUGAGUGAAGUAGAGGUUGGCGGAAUUCCGAGUGUAGCGGUGAAAUGCGUAGAUAUUCGGAGGAACACCGGUGGCGAAGGCGGCCAACUGGGCUUUAACUGACGCUGAGGCUCGAAAGUGUGGGGAGCAAACAGGAUUAGAUACCCUUGUA
rnacentral:rRNA from 1 species